UACGGAGGGGGCUAGCGUUGUUCGGAAUUACUGGGCGUAAAGGGCUCGUAGGUGGCCAACUAAGUCAGACGUGAAACCCCUCGGCUUAACCGGGGAACUGCGUCUGAUACUGGAUGGCUUGAGUUUGGGAGAGGGACGCGGAAUUCCAGGUGUAGCGGUGAAAUGCGUAGAUAUCUGGAGGAACACCGGUGGCGAAGGCGGCGUCCUGGACCAACACUGACACUGAUGAGCGAAAGCCAGGGGAGCAAACGGG
rnacentral:rRNA from 1 species